rnacentral:misc_RNA from 1 species
GCGAGUAUAACCUCUCUAAACCAUUGUGAACGAACGAACCAGUUGCUUAGGCUGGUGGACGGCUACUGCUAGUACCCGGCCGGCAGAACGCAAACUCUUUCUAUAUGUCAUCCUCUGAGUUACUUAUUAAAUAAGUCA